UUUCCUACGGGGGGCUGCAGUGGGGAAUAUUGCACAAUGGGCGAAAGCCUGAUGCAGCAACGCCGCGUGAGCGAUGAAGGCCUUUGGGUCGUAAAGCUCUGUCCUUGGGGAAGAAAAAAAUGACGGUACCCUUGGAGGAAGCCCCGGCUAACUACGUGCCAGCAGCCGCGGUAAUACGUAGGGGGCAAGCGUUAUCCGGAAUUAUUGGGCGUAAAGAGUGCGUAGGUGGUUUUGUAAGCGCGGGGUGAAAGGCUAUGGCUCAACCAUAGUAAGCCUUGCGAACUGCAAGACUUGAGUGCAGGAGAGGAAAGCGGAAUUCCUAGUGUAGCGGUGAAAUGCGUAGAUAUUAGGAGGAACACCAGUGGCGAAGGCGGCUUUCUGGACUGUAACUGACACUGAGGCACGAAAGCGUGGGGAGCAAACAGGAUUAGAUACCCCGGUAGUCAG
rnacentral:rRNA from 1 species